rnacentral:rRNA from 1 species
AGGAAUAUUGGUCAAUGGACGAGAGUCUGAACCAGCCAAGUAGCGUGCAGGAAGACGGCCCUAUGGGUUGUAAACUGCUUUUAUAAGGGAAUAAAGUUAGUCUCGUGAGACUUUUUGCAUGUACCUUAUGAAUAAGGACCGGCUAAUUCCGUGCCAGCAGCCGCGGUAAUACGGAAGGUCCGGGCGUUAUCCGGAUUUAUUGGGUUUAAAGGGAGCGUAGGCCGGAGAUUAAGCGUGUUGUGAAAUGUAGACGCUCAACGUCUGCACUGCAGCGCGAACUGGUUUCCUUGAGUACGCACAAAGUGGGCGGAAUUCGUGGUGUAGCGGUGAAAUGCUUAGAUAUCACGAAGAACUCCGAUUGCGAAGGCAGCUCACUGGAGCGCAACUGACGCUGAAGCUCGAAAGUGCGGGUAUCGAACAGGAUUAGAUACCCUGGUAGUCCGCACGGUAAACGAUGGAUGCCCGCUGUUGGUCUGAAUAGGUCAGCGGCCAAGCGAAAGCAUUAAGCAUCCCACCUGGGGAGUACGCCGGCAACGGUGAAACUCAAAGGAAUUGACGGGGGCCCGCACAAGCGGAGGAACAUGUGGUUUAAUUCGAUGAUACGCGAGGAACCUUACCCGGGCUUGAAUUGCAGAGGAAGGAUUUGGAGACAAUGACGCCCUUCGGGGCCUCUGUGAAGGUGCUGCAUGGUUGUCGUCAGCUCGUGCCGUGAGGUGUCGGCUUAAGUGCCAUAACGAGCGCAACCCCUCUCCUUAGUUGCCAUCAGGUUAAGCUGGGCACUCUGGGGACACUGCCACCGUAAGGUGUGAGGAAGGUGGGGAUGACGUCAAAUCAGCACGGCCCUUACGUCCGGGGCUACACACGUGUUACAAUGGCAGGUACAGAGAGACGGUCCCUUGCAAAAUGGAUCAAAUCCUUAAAGCCUGUCUCAGUUCGGACUGGAGUCUGCAACCCGACUCCACGAAGCUGGAUUCGCUAGUAAUCGCGCAUCAGCCACGGCGCGGUGAAUACGUUCCCG